AUGCAUACCUGAUGUCGGGCUUUUGAUGAUCGUUUAGGUUGGGGCUCCAUGCCAAAGCUAACCACUGCACUGCGGUUGGCUGAAGCGCGCCACUACCCCAAACCGGGGCAGAUGGGACAUGUAAAUUUGGUAGUGGGGCUCGGCGUGCGUGCUAGCUCCUC
rnacentral:snRNA from 1 species